rnacentral:rRNA from 1 species
AUUGAACGCUGGCGGCAUGCCUUACACAUGCAAGUCGAACGGUAACAGGUCUUCGGAUGCUGCCGAGUGGCGCACGGGUGAGUAAUACAUCGGAACGUGCCCAGACGUGGGGGAUAACGAGGCGAAAGCUUUGCUAAUACCGCAUACGAUCUAAGGAUGAAAGCAGGGGACCGCAAGGCCUUGCGCGUUUGGAGCGGCCGAUGGCAGAUUAGGUAGUUGGUGGGAUAAAAGCUUACCAAGCCGACGAUCUGUAGCUGGUCUGAGAGGACGACCAGCCACACUGGGACUGAGACACGGCCCAGACUCCUACGGGAGGCAGCAGUGGGGAAUUUUGGACAAUGGGCGAAAGCCUGAUCCAGCAAUGCCGCGUGCAGGAUGAAGGCCUUCGGGUUGUAAACUGCUUUUGUACGGAACGAAAAGGCUCUGGCUAAUACCUGGGGCACAUGACGGUACCGGAAGAAUAAGCACCGGCUAACUACGUG